UUUGGGACGAGACGUGAGGUACGUUCGUAGCGGUCGAUAGAGCUUCCGACCCAGGUUAUCGAUUUAGUUUUUAUCCUUACUAUUCUGUUGUUAUAGCUUAGUUAGUUUAUAUGGUUCAGUUAGAUGAUCAUACUUGAUGUUUGAAUGUUGUGAGCUGGUUGAAUUUGUGGAUUUGUGGAAUUGUGGAUUUGGUUUAUGGAUCUUCAGUUUUGGGAUGUUUGUAUACUUUGUGGUUCGCGGAUUUGUAUUUAUGGAUUUACGCAUCGUGGUUUUCUACUCAUCGAGGUAGUCAGUUUUCAAAAUAGAGUUUCCGUGUGGGAAACAGUUUUCAAAAGAUUUUUGAAUGAUUUUCAUGUAUAAAUGAAUUAGAUUUUAAAAACAAAAGCUUCCGUGUGGGGAGCACUUUUAAAUAGGAUGAUUGUUGUACUGUACAUUGCAUCAUCCAGCGUCUAAGGAGUGUUUAGAGGCAUGCAUCAUCUCUAAGGAUUGUUAGCUGUAUGAAAAUGCAUAUCAUGAAUUGGUUGCUGAUUGAAAAAUGUAGGUUGUGGUUGUGAUCCUGUUGUAUCCGUUGGUACGCCGUGCAAAUACAAAGGAGACUCUGUCCGAGUGAACAGAUGAACUUUGUAUUUGUGGCGGGUCUGUACGUCACGUGGGCCAGGUUGG
rnacentral:lncRNA from 1 species